GUCCGUGUCGUCAAUGGGCAGACUGCAACCAUAGCCAAAACGUUCCCCAUGGCCCAGCUCACCAGCAUUGUGAUAGCUACUCCAGGGACCAGACUCGCUGGACCUCAAACUGUACAGCUUAGCAAGCCAAGUCUUGAAAAACAGACAGUUAAAUCUCACACAGAAACAGAUGAGAAACAAACAGAGAGCCGCACCAUCACCCCACCUGCUGCACCCAAACCAAAACGGGAGGAGAACCCUCAGAAACUUGCCUUCAUGGUGUCUCUAGGGUUGGUAACACAUGACCAUCUAGAAGAAAUCCAAAGCAAGAGGCAAGAGCGAAAAAGAAGAACAACAGCAAAUCCGGUCUACAGCGGAGCAGUCUUUGAGCCAGAGCGUAAGAAGAGUGCAGUCACAUACCUAAACAGCACAAUGCACCCUGGGACUCGGAAGAGAGGGUGAUAUUCAUGAGGAUUUUUGCAGCGUUUGCAGAAAAAGUGGCCAGUUACUGAUGUGCGACACGUGUUCCCGUGUAUAUCAUUUGGACUGCUUAGACCCCCCUCUGAAAACAAUUCCCAAGGGCAUGUGGAUCUGUCCCAGAUGUCAGGACCAG
rnacentral:sRNA from 1 species